AAGAGAUUAGCUCAGUUGGUAGAGCGACCCCUUUACACGGGGAAGGUCAGGUGUUCGAAUCGCCUAUUUCUUA
rfam:Aspergillus terreus NIH2624 scaffold_27 mitochondrial scaffold, whole genome shotgun sequence.